CGCUCAGGUACGGCACAAGCUCCCUUUUCCUAUCGAUGGCCUGGAGCUGUGAAGCACCAUUUGGGCAUUUGCGAAACAAGGCAAACUGGCAAAGGAAAUGUUCAAUAAUAAUCACUUGAAAGCACACGCGGAUACGGAAUGGCAUACACCGGAAGGUUGGAUGCGGAACGUAACCUGCAUUACGACAUUAGGAUUCCGCGAAGAAACUGGAAUAAAGAAACAGAGGCCAAUACCCUUCAAUUGCUUGCUGCUCUCAAUAUGCAGGACAUCAUCCGUAAAGUUGCUCGGCUCCAGUGCACUGUGAACGGGUUCGGAACUUGACUAUCAAGGGAGAACAUGGUAAAGCAGACGCGAGACGAAGCAGAGCGAGUGGACCUGCUAAUGUCAGUUAACCCAUACCUCAUGUGUUUUCACAUGAAAGGAGGUUAAGGGAAGAACACCGAGCCUUGUCGGUACAGGCCCUUUUGCUCUAAGACUUAUGACCUAAGACAUUAAUGACUGAGCAUUUGCCCGGGGCCCAGUGUUUUCAUUUUUGAGCAAGGGAACUAAUAAGAACGGGGCUCCGUACAACUCGUUUCACACCUCGUUGAAUGAGAAGAAGCGGGCGCGCUCAUGGGAGGUUACAGCCGACUGGCAAUACCCCGAGUAUCUCUGAACUGGGCAAUGUAUAUGGCGCAUGCUACCCUUCUGCGACAACACCAAAAGCGUGUCGGCGUUCCGCUACUUUGCUGAUGGUGAGUGAUUUCUGUAAAGAUCUGUUCAACGCAUUAUCCCCGAUUUGCUGAGGUUGCUGUGUGCAAAGAAAGUGAAAGUGCAUUUCUGCGAUAGUGUCACAGAAUUACGGGAUUUGUUACAUCGUUCCCACAUCGGCGCAUGCUAACCUUGCGGUCAACAUUUGCGGCGUUGGGACCGUGCUGCUGCCUUGAUGGCGGAGGAAGCGCAGCAUUCACCAAGGCCUCCAGAUAUACGAACUCAGGAGAUCACAACGCAAUUAAUCCCUCACAUCCCGUUCAUACAUCGAUGACCGCUGCCCAAACCGUCCAAUACCACCAAGAACGUACAACAGGCACGAUCUCCAAGCGCCCCCCAUGACACACUGCAAACCACUUGAGCACCAUGUCUGCGCCCCAGAUGGUUUAAGCUGCGCUCACUAUGCUGGGCCGUUGAACCCUACACCAGGGUUGCAACAGAGCCGCAAGUGUACAGAAAGCUAUUGUAAGUUCCAGAUCGCGCUAGCGUGCGCCAAAGUUGCCGAAAGCCUCAUCAGCUUCCUAGACAGUCCGCUGCUGACGUACCACACGUUUGCGGCAGUCACAGCUGCCUCCAAUCCGGUUUACU
rnacentral:lncRNA from 1 species